rnacentral:misc_RNA from 1 species
GGUUGCAACGAUCCUGAUCAAAGGGAAUGUUUCCAAGUCCAGGAGUUGCUCGGUAGCGUCUUUUAGGGGGAUCAGUUUUCACGCCUGGUGUCAAUUGGGAUGCUUCAUUUUUCAGACGGCUUACUGGACAGAUCCCCAAGGCAAUGUGUCGCUUAAGGUGGCUGGUUCCAGCUAGCUUUGAACCAGUUAUAUAAGCAAAUGAUUUCUUGCACUGCUUGCAGCAUGCCCUCAUGCAACCAGCACCAACAGUUUCUAUAGUGAAGUGUUCCCAAACAAUCGACUUCUUUCUCCUGCGUUUAUUGGGCUGCUCCUCAGAAAUGGGCUCUUCAUUGUUAUCAGGAAGCAUUACAGGAGUAAUGGCCAAAAUAGGGGUUGUCGGCGAGUCCAUAUCCAUAGAAGUCAUAAUCCUCGAUUA